CAUGAAGCUGGAAUUGCUAGUAAUCGCGGAUCAGCAAGCCGCGGUGAAUACGUUCCCGGGCCUUGUACACACCGCCCGUCACACCAUGAGAGUCGGGAACACCCGAAGUCCGUAGUCUAACCGCAAGGGGGCGCGGCCGAAGGUGGGUCCGGUAAUUGGGGUGAAGUCGUAACAAGGUAAC
rnacentral:rRNA from 1 species